CAAGGCUGCAUUUCCCGGUACACACGGAAGAGAAAGCCUCCUCAGGUCAGCUCUGCUGACUGACCCCUCAGCCCAGGCCCCAGUGCUGUGUGCAGUAGGGAGCUGGCACCAGUUCCCGGCUGUACAAUUCCUGACACCUGUUAUCUAUCCUCCAGUUGAUCAAAAAGUUGAGCUACAUUUGCUCGACAUGUCAGAAGUGAUAUAGAGAGCGGGGAUUUCACAGUCUCCGUGGCAAGAGCAGGCUAUCAGGGAUGCAUAAAGAAAGCCGCAUGUGUCAGAUUGCGGGAUGAAUGGCGCUUCCCAGCUUCUCCAUUCACUCCCCUUAUUUCGAUGUACACACCAGCAACACUCCAUUUUUAAGAUUCAGAGUUGGAGGAGACUACACGGCUCCCAUACCCACCACCCUCACUUGACAGAUGAUGAAAAGUAUAUCCUAAGAGAUGGCGCAUCAUGCCAAAUACCAUAUGGUGAAUUAACUCCAACAGAAGAAAAGAAUAACAAAAGCUCACACAAGAAGUUGGGUCCGUGCCCGUAUCAUGCCCAGGCAUCUGGCCAAAGCAAUUAAUCCUGUGAAAAAAAAUAAUUUCAAAAAACCCAUCGCUUUAUGUGAAAAAAUUUAAAAAUACUAAUGUUUGAACUCCCUCCCCUGUUCGUGAAAUUCUGUUCUAUUUUCCGGGUGUUGGCAUUCCUCAAGUACCAUAAACCAUUGUAAUCUGUAGUUGGCAUUGGAGAGCCUGGUAGAAUACAGCAGGGAAUUGCUUGGAGCCCAAUGACACAAGAAUGAGUCUGGGCCAUUUCAAGAUCAUCAGUGUGGCUCUGGGCAGGCUGAUUAACUGCUUCUAUCUAUCUAUUAACAUAUCCAUUAAUCCUUAUGUCACACAAAAGCUGAAGCCAAGAUGAGACAAUGCUCAUGAAAGUGUCUAGCCAACUCUGAAGUGCUGUAGUCUGUGAGUCCAGACCCUUCAGACACAGCCAGUGGAACACCUAGAACUUUUCUUUUUGAUAUUCAGUAAUUGAACUCAACGCAGUCCUAUUUAUUGAAUUUCUACUAGGAAAGGAACAUUUUUUGUUAGGUGCUGGUCACAUCAACGUGAAGACAUUCUACAGAGAUGAAGACACUGACCACCCACCUCUUCUAGAAGGGGAAGUGGACAUUAAAAAGGCCGCCGUUCCAAAGAUGUAGGAAAAUGAAGAAUCAGCCUUGUGGGCAAGAGGAGGAUUGCAUUAGCCAGUAGGCAGCACCCUUUGCUGGCAGAGAGAGAAAUCUGAGCCUCAGCCGCGCCAGCCAGGAGCAGGCUUUGCACAAACUAUCUGGUUUCAAGUUGCUGAGUCUCCGGAGUCCCUGGGAAGGUGCCCCAGGGACAGGACUCCCUUUGCAGGGCCCUGAGGAUAGAUGAGAAUUCCCCAUCCCCAGCCACCGGGAAAACAAGCAGGACCCCAGCAAAAGAACAAUUAAACAGAGACAGCCAACUAAAAAGGCAAUUCUAGGAGAUGAUAAAAAAAGAAUGCAGAUCCCAAGCCUAAGCCUAUCCUUGGACAUCUGCAGGUUUUUCUGAAAACCGAGUGUCUGGUACAGACUGCGAGGGAGCACCAGUUUCGGCAGUUGGCUACUUUCUCUCCCCACUUGAAAGGCAGACGCGUGGCGCUGCUUAGCUGCAAGCGUGCAGAGGUCUAGCCCACCAAUUUGGGAAAGAACUUCAGCAAAGUCGGAGAGUCCAGUGACCCUUGCGUCUAGGAAGAUCUGUGCCUGUGAAGGGUCAGUGCCCCAGGCCUCUGGAGAAAUGCUACUGCGGACCUAUUAUAAUAAGAGAUAGCCCUCGCUAUCAAGACUGCACCAAAUGGGACUCUUGCCACAUGUACCCCCCCCAAUUAACCCCUACCCUGUCACCACACUAUAACCUCUGCGUUCCGACGGAGUAAUAACUCCAACACACAAAAAUGAAGAGAGUGCAAAAGGGACAUCUGUGCCAGGCACAGAUGCUAUCUAAAGUACUUUCACAAACUCCUGAAGGUUCUCUGUGAUGCAUCUUUUACAGGUGAGGAGUUGACGAUGAAGGUUUGGCAAGCUGACCAGCCAAGGCCAUCCAGAUACCCAUUAUCAUUCCUGAAGCUAGGGCCGCUUCAAGCCAGCGGUGCUAAAGCACUUCCCACACUCAUUCCUUCAAGUACCUUUGCGUCCUGUGCACGUCACUGGUGGCAUUACAACUCCACUCUCCAAUGAAGAAACUAGCCAGAGAAGCUGGUCACGUAGCUAGGAAGGGAGGAAGAAUUCCACCUCUUAUACACGCAAUUAUACCAUGUCUCAGUAAUAUACCAUAAUACAUGUGGCAUAACCCCACAUAUCCACAAACCGAAUCAUCUGGCAAGAGCUUUAGACACUGUGCAGAACUUAGCAGUGAUCUGUGUCUUCCGCCCAACCUGGCUGUGCGUGGCACUGGAUGGUCCUGAUUCUCCCAGCUUGCUCAGCAGAAGCUGUAAGGAGGUGCGGGCAAGGUUCCAACUGUAAAGGGCGCUUUUCAGUCCUGCAGAAGGCUACCUGCCACCGGGAUCAAGGUGACAGAGACAUUCUCCACCCUUGGAUAACACUCCUUUGUCUUUUUUUUUUUUGAGGAGCAAUGACUUCACAGCCGCUGUAAUUCUUGCCUGUUUUCUCUAGUGUCUCCAUUUAUUUUUAUUUUAUGUACAUUGGUGUUUUGACUGCAUGUAUGUCUGAGUGAGGGUGUCAGAUCCCCUGGAGCUGGAGUUACAGACAGUUGUGAGCUGCCAUAUGGGUGCUGGGAAUUGAAUUCUGGUCCCCCGGAAGAGCUAUCAGUGCUCUUAACCACUGAGCCACCUCUCCAGUCCCCACUUCAGCUAUCUCGAGUGUCAGCCUGGUGUGCUUGGCAUGGCUACCGGCCUCUGGUUGAUAAUACAGGUGCACAUGUGUGCGAUAUGCAGGGAAGUCUGAACUUAAGCAUCCUCUAAAAGAAAUGUUCUCUGUCGCAGGCACGAUAAAAAAAAAAUAAAAAGCCUGUAAAACCCCCAUUAAGCAGACUGUCAGGCUCUUUAGACAUCAAAUAACUCUCACAAAACAACAUUUUAAUGAUUUAAGUGUAAAUGAAUCAGAAACACAUGGGCUGCAUUUCUUUUGGAAUACACAAGGGUUUUCAAACCAACGGAGAAAGAACUUGGCAAGACCAACACAGUGCGCAUUGGCCUUGCCCAGGAAAGGAGUCCCUCAAUUCUUCCUGCAGCUCAGCGUGCCCUCCCCUGGCUUUAGCGUAUGUGUUAGGAAAAACGUUUCUUUUUUUUUUUUUUUUUCUGGCUCAGGGCACAGAGGGAAGGGCUUGGGAGGGGUAAACCACAAGCCGCCCCUUUGUGAAGUGUCACACAGAGCAAGUAAGCCUCCGGGGAUACCUUCCUUUUUUAAGGCUGCCAGCGAUCCACGGGAGAUGUUUUGAAGGAUAUUCUGAGCUCAAGUUCUGGCAAUGUGCAGCAGAUCUGGUGUGUGCCUUCCCUAGGAGUCAGCCAAAGCUCAGUGGAAGGCUCUGGGUGUGGCUCCCGCAGCUCUUCCCUGGCUUGGACUAGUCCUUUGCUGAAGGCUCGCUGAGAUGUCCUCAUCAUCCUCAUCAGAUCCAGGUGUGGGCCGGAUGCCCUUGCUGCCCUGGAGCACUAGGCUUCCGGGUCUGCAGUCUCAGUUGUCGCAGCUUUAGGGAAGCCACCUACUUAGGCGAGGCAUCAGUUCACUUGUGUAGGAGCUCACAGAGCAGGAUGUGGGUGUGAAAAGAUGCUCUGAUGGUCAGCAGCUUCCCCGUGCGGGUACAGGAGGCCAGAGGGGCUGAAAGUGCCAAUUGCUUCCUCUGUGGUUUUGACAGUGUCGUCAUUCAUUUAUUCAUAAUCCUAUCACGGAUAUUAAGAAAAACUCAUGUUUGGAAAGAUUCAAUUAGUUUCUUUAAAAGUCUGAAAAAAAAAUAGUUUAAAAUGCACACAAGGAACCCGUAGUUCUUUAGUUCUAAGCAUAGAAAUCUGGACCGCAAGGGCGGGUGAAGAGCCCUCGGAUGACAGUCCGGAAGCCCUGUUAGAAAGGCAGCCUCUGUGGAAAUGAGUCCUACAGCUUUCCUACCCUGGAACGCCGGGGUUUACAUUUUCUACCGUAAGUAUUUACUUUGUAGCCUCUCAGUGAAAGUUUCUGGAACUCUGCGAAUGCGUCAGAAAAUGUAAAGAAUUUGCUCAGUGGAUUUUUCUUCUGCAGGGGGGGGGGGGCAAAGCUUGAAACCUGGGCUUCCUUACGAAUGUGUGAGAAGAGAAUAAAGAAAGAACGUGAGUGCGGUUUAGAGUUACAAUUGUGGUAGGUAGUUCAGCUCAUUGACCAGGAGUAUGCCAAAGGCCAUAACUUCUGAUCUUCCAGGUCAUCACGAUAAUGUGGGAAAUUAAAAGAAUUCCCAUGCUUCAUCCCAGAAGAGUCAAGUUCACAUCAGCUGAAUCUGAAAUUGUGAAACUCCGCCUGGGAUGACUGCACCAUUUUAUUUUUUAAUGCGUACAACACAGAGCAUCAUUAUAAAUGGGGCUAUUUUUUUUUAUUUCUUUCUUGGCACAUUGUCUUUCAGUGUCUUUUAUGUUGAUUUUACAUCCUGCUACUUUGCUGUCAGUGUUUAUCAGUUCUAAGGGUUUUUUUCUUCUUUCUUCUUUUUUUUUUUCCACAAAGUCCUUAGGGUCUUUAACACACAAAAGACACUGUUUGUUUACAAAUAUGCUAAAAAUUAGUCAUUCUUCAAGAAGCAGUUCCAGGAAAACUAGCUAUCCACAUGUAGGAGAAAGGAACUAGAUCCCCAUCUCUCAUACUGUAUAGAAAUCAACUCAAAAUGUGCCGAAGAUGCUGUGUAAGACCUGGAAUUCUGAUUGUGUUAGAGAAAAACAUAAGGAGGAUAUAUCAAGAUAUAGAUAUAGGAAAAGACUUUCUGAAAAGGACUCUAGCAGCUAGAAAAAUAAAAUCAAGAACUCACAAAUUAUUUUGCAACACUAAGAGGCACCUAUACAACAAAGGAGAUAAUCUAAUGAGGAGACAACAGAGAGAGCAACAAAGAGGAAAUCUUUGCCAGCUACAUGUCUCACAGAAGUUUAACACCUAGACUGCAUAAAGAACUGAAAAUGUCAAACACUCUGAAGCCAAACAUCUCAAGUGAAGAACGAAAUGAAGAGACAGUUCACAAAGAGUUCUUCAGUGAAGUACAAACAGCCAAUGAACAAGUGAAAAAAAUAGUUAGCAUCCUUUGCCAUCAAAGACAUUGAUAUUAACACUACUUUGAGAUUCAUUUCAUCUCGCCUCAGUCAGAAUGACCAUCGUCAUGAAAACACUCAGUUAUCACACCAUGGUACAAAGUUCUAUCUAUUUAUGACAUACAAUAUGAUUUAACAUAGGUGAAUAUGGAAUGUACAGAUUCAACACAUUAACAUAUAUGUCUACUAGAAGAAAAUAGCUGGCAAAUGCAAAUUAGGUCUUGGUUUCAUGGAGGACAUGGAAGGUCCUCUGUAGUGGUGGGAACUUGGACUGUGACUUGUGACAUUGUCACACAGAGGAAAGGGGGUCUGCUUUUAAACCUGAAGGUUCACCCUGAUAGCAACCCACAUCUUCCAGGGAAUCCCCGUUUUCCAGUGCCUCACAAUCUCCCAGACCAGUGCUAGCAUCUAAGAAAACAAACCAAACCGAAGAUGUUUUCUUCUAAUAUAUUAGUAUUUGGUUGAUUUAAAUUAUUCCUUGUGUUGUUGCUUAGCAUUAUUUAUUUUGCAUCUCGGGAGUUUUUUUUUUUUUUUAUGUUAUCUACCGAGGAGCCUGUUUUUCCCAUAGGUUAUUCUUGACACCUUUGGCAAAGACUUUCAUCUCCAUUUCCUUAUGUACGUGGGUCUCUGCCAUGCACCAUUAGUCCACAUGUCUGUUUGUUGUGCCUUAUUAUUUAUUUUGAUUUCUGUAGAUUUAAAUGUUACUUUCACUAUACUGUAAAGUCAAGAGUUGUGCUGCCUCUAACUUUGUUCUUUUAUGUAAAAUUUUUCUUGAAGCUGCUUGAAAUAUUUUGUAGUUCCAUAAAAUGUUUGAUAUUUUUCCACCUCUGUGAAAAAUAUUAGAAUUUUCAGAGUGACAGCAUCAUAUCUGUAUAUUACUUUGAGUAGUGUGGGUAUUUUAUUUACCUGUAUAUAACUUUGGGUAGUAUGGUCAUUUUAUUUUAGUUACACUUUCAUAUUUAUUCAUCUUUGUGCAUGUAUGUACAGACAUAGGUGUCAUGGAACACAUGAGAAGGUCAGAAGACAACUUGGAGGAGUUGAUUUUCUCUUUCCAACAAUUGUGUUCCUGGAAUUGAAGUUAAGUCUUCAGUCUUGAUAGCAAAAACCUUCACCCUCUGGACAAUCCUGCUCACCCAGAAAUUAAAAAAAAAAAAUCAUUUCUUCAAAUCCAUGAUAAGGGGCAUAUAUCCAUUUGUUUAUAUUCUAUUUACUUUCUUUCACUAGUCUGUUAAUGUACAGAAAUGCAACUGAUAUUUGUGCACUGAAUCUGUAUCUUAUAACAGGGUUUAAAAAAUUAUUUUACCCCUCCCCCCCAAAGGAGGAGCAGCCUUGCUAGGCCACAGAAGAGGACAUGCAGCCAGUCCUGAAGAGACCUGAUAAGCUAGGGUCGGAUGGAAGGGGAGGAGGUCCUCCCCCAUCAAUGGACUUGGAAAGGGGCAGGGAGGAGAUGAGGGACAAAGGGUGAGACUGGGAGGGAAUGAGGGAGGAGGCUAUGGCUGGGAUACAAAGUAAAUAACCUGUGAUUAAUAUAAAAAAUAAAAAAAAUAUUUUAACAGUUUUCUUUAGACUUCUAAAGCUUUCUAAGUGUAGGAUGAUAUCAAUAUAACUUUUCCCUUUUAACUUGUAUACCUUAGAUUUAAUUAUUUGAUUUUCUUUUUCUUAUUGCUCUCUCUAGUACUAGCACUCUGAAAAGUAGCACCACAAAUGAACAUUCCUGUGUUGUUCUGAUGCCAGAGGAAAACAAAAGCUUUGUGCUUUUAACAGUUGAGUAGGAUGUUGCCAUGAGCACAUCAUAUACAGCCUUUGUUAGGUUAAGGUACAUUACUUCUGUACUUUGCUGAUAAGAGCAUAAAGGGAUGGUGAACUUUGUCAAUUCUUUUUUGCUCCCCAUUGAGGUGAUCAUAUAGUUUUUUUUUAAAGAUUUGUUUUUAUUUAUUACAGAUACAAUGUUCUAUCUGCAUGUACACCAGCAUGACUGAAAAGGACACCAGGUCUCAUUAUAGAUGGUUGUGAGCCACCAUGUGGUUACUGGGAAUUGAACUCAAGACCUUUGGAAGAGCAGUCAGUGCUCUUAACCUCUGAGCCAUCUCUCCAGCCCGAUCAUACAGUUUUUGUUCAUUUUAUUACAAUAUCACGUUUAUUGAUUGGCAUGUGUAGAGCCAUUUGUAUUAAGAGGGAGCAAGUUUAUUCCAGCUUACAAUGAAGGGCUACACCGCCCUUGGAGGGAAAGAAGACGUAAUGGCAGUAGCACGAGGCAGCUGGUCAUAUCGUUUCUGCGGUAAGGAAGAGAAGAGUAGACAGCAGGCUGGAAGUGAGACAGGAUGUAAAAUCAUCCUCCCACAGUGGCCUGCUUCCUACAACAAGAAUCUGCGCCCUAAAAGUUCCACAGCCUUCUGAACAGCAUCCUCAGCUGAGGAUCAAAUAUUUCAACACCGGAGCCUAUGGGGACUUUCUGUGUUAAAACCACGGCAUCCCUCCUUUGGCCCUCAAAGACACGUGGCAAUCUCAUGCUUCAAAAUACAUUCUUUCCAACCUAAAAUGCCCUACGGUCUUGGACACUCCUGUUGCGAACGUUUUGGUUUAUGAUAUGUAAAUGUAUGUUUAUGAUAUGGAAACAUGUUUUUGUUACAAUUUCA